GUCCCCCUCAUCGAGCCUGAGGAGUUCUUCACUAUUGACUAAUGAAGUUAUUUUUAGAAACAAUGGUCAAGGACCCCACUCUGGCUCUAUAGUAUAUAACAGAAGCUCACCACACAAGAUCGAUAACCCUUUCAGAUCAUACUAUACCAAGCUGCUACUUCACUUCAGUAGAACAAUUGAUCACACACAAGAAGUUCAGAUCAGAAAAUGCAGGCUGUCGCUACUCCCAUCAGGUUCUCGGAUGUGUUCCCAUCAAGGGCUGACCGUGGAGAAGAGCACGGUGGUGGUUAGUGUCCCUGUUGUUGUCACGGCGGUGGUUCCGUGAAGAUCAAGAGGAGCAAGGAUGUUGUCAAGUUCAAGGUGCGCCCGUUGCAACUCCAACCUGUUCCCCCCCAAUUCAGCACCAAAGACAGAUUCGUUGUAAGGAACUUCAAAAUCUGGAGGCGCUUAGGAUGCCCCAGCCCGCUGCUUUUGUCUCCGUGCAGCCGUCCGAUGGUCAACCCACGCCGAGCAACGUCUCGAACAAGAAUAUGAAGCACGGUGGCG
rnacentral:misc_RNA from 1 species